UACAGAGGGUGCAAGCGUUGCUCGGAAUCAUUGGGCGUAAAGGGUAGGUAGGUGGUCUCAUUUGUCUGGGGUGAAAGCCUCGAGCUUAACUCGAGAAGUGCCCCGGAAACGGUGAGACUGGAGUAUUGGAGAGGGUCGUGGAAUUCCCGGUGUAGCGGUGAAAUGCGUAGAGAUCGGGAGGAACACCAGAGGCGAAGGCGGCGACCUGGACAAUUACUGACACUCAACUACGAAAGCGUGGGGAGCAAACAGG
rnacentral:rRNA from 1 species